AAAUAGAACGGUCGAAUUAAGUUGACUAAAUGAUGAUGCUGCUAUACCGAAGUAGUGUUGUAACUAAGGCUGGCAAUCCAGCUUGCAAUAAGCGAAUCAGCUCGUGUUUGGCUUGAAAUGAGUUCAAGAUCAAUCACUCGUUUAAUAAAUAAGUCGCAUAUGAGCUGAAUUUUUCAGCUCGAAAUCUUAACGAGCCGAACACGAGCUGGAGUAAGGUUGCUCAGCUCCUAUAAUUUUUAAAAGCACCAAGUCGUUGAUGCUCGUGAAUUUUUUCUUUCGAUGAAGAUUUGUAGGUUUAGAAUAAUAGUGGUUCUCUAGAAUUAAGUAAAUGGUUUGUGAAAUAGCAUGAUCUAAAGCACGGAUGGAG
rnacentral:lncRNA from 1 species